AUUGAACGCUGGCGGCAUGCCUUACACAUGCAAGUCGAACGGCAGCACGGGAGCAAUCCUGGUGGCGAGUGGCGAACGGGUGAGUAAAGUAUCGGAGCGUGCCCAGUCGUGGGGGAUAACGUAGCGAAAGUUACGCUAAUACCGCAUACGAUCUAUGGAUGAAAGCGGGGGAUCGCAAGACCUCGCGCGAUUGGAGCGGCCGAUAUCAGAUUAGGUAGUUGGUGGGGUAAAGGCUCACCAAGCCGACGAUCUGUAGCUGGUCUGAGAGGACGACCAGCCACACUGGGACUGAGACACGGCCCAGACUCCUACGGGAGGCAGCAGUGGGGAAUUUUGGACAAUGGGCGCAAGCCUGAUCCAGCCAUGCCGCGUGCAGGAUGAAGGCCUUCGGGUUGUAAACUGCUUUUGUACGGAACGAAAAGGUUUGACUUAAUACGUUGGACUCAUGACGGUACCGUAAGAAUAAGCACCGGUUAACUACGUGCCAGCAGCCGCCGUAA
rnacentral:rRNA from 1 species